rnacentral:rRNA from 1 species
GACGAACGCUGGCGGCGUGCUUAACACAUGCAAGUGGAGCGACGAACCAGGGCUUGCCCUGGGGCAAAGCCGCGAACGGGUGAGUAACACGUGGGUAGCCUGCCCCGAUGACUGGGAUAACCCGAGGAAACCCGGGCUAAUACCGGAUACGUCCGCGGACCAUUCAGGUCCGCGUGCAAAGGAGGCUUCGGCAUACGCUCCGGGAUGGGCCCGCGGCCCAUUAGCUUGUUGGUGAGGUAGCGGCUCACCAAGGCUGCGAUGGGUAGCUGGUCUGAGAGGACGAUCAGCCACACUGGGACUGAGACACGGCCCAGACGCCUACGGGAGGCAGCAGUGGGGAAUCUUGCGCAAUGCGCGAAAGCGUGACGCAGCAACGCCGCGUGGGGGAAGAAUGCCUUCGGGUUGUAAACCCCUUUCAGUUGGGACGAAGCUUCGGUGGUUAAUAGCCGGCCGGAGUGACGGUACCUUCAGAAGAAGCCCCGGCUAACUACGUGCCAGCCGCCGCAGUAAAAC